GGCAGGCCUAACACAUGCAAGUCGAGCGGAAACGAGUUAUCUGAACCUUCGGGGAACGAUAACGGCGUCGAGCGGCGGACGGGUGAGUAAUGCCUAGGAAAUUGCCCUGAUGUGGGGGAUAACCAUUGGAAACGAUGGCUAAUACCGCAUAAUGCCUACGGGCCAAAGAGGGGGACCUUCGGGCCUCUCGCGUCAGGAUAUGCCUAGGUGGGAUUAGCUAGUUGGUGAGGUAAUGGCUCACCAAGGCGACGAUCCCUAGCUGGUCUGAGAGGAUGAUCAGCCACACUGGAACUGAGACACGGUCCAGACUCCUACGGGAGGCAGCAGUGGGGAAUAUUGCACAAUGGGCGCAAGCCUGAUGCAGCCAUGCCGCGUGUGUGAAGAAGGCCUUCGGGUUGUAAAGCACUUUCAGUCGUGAGGAAGGUAGUGUAGUUAAUAGCUGCAUUAUUUGACGUUAGCGACAGAAGAAGCACCGGCUAACUCCGUG
rnacentral:rRNA from 1 species